UACAGAGGUCCCAAGCGUUGUUCGGAUUUACUGGGCGUAAAGGGUGCGUAGGUGGCGGGGUAAGUCUGGUGUGAAAUCUCCGAGCUCAACUCGGAAAAGCAUUGGAAACUAUCCCGCUAGAGGGUCGGAGGGGAGACUGGAAUUCUCGGUGUAGCAGUGAAAUGCGUAGAUAUCGAGAGGAACACCAGUGGCGAAGGCGAGUCUCUGGACGACUCCUGACACUGAGGCACGAAGGCUAGGGGAGCAAACAGG
rnacentral:rRNA from 1 species